rnacentral:SRP_RNA from 14 species
GGGGCGGAAGGCAGCAGCCCCAGCGAGGCCGU